rnacentral:miRNA from 1 species
GGUGUGAGUGGAAGUCAGAGGU